AUUGAACGCUAGCGGGAUGCUUUACACAUGCAAGUCGAACGGCAGCGCGGACUUCGGUCUGGCGGCGAGUGGCGAACGGGUGAGUAAUGUAUCGGAACGUGCCCAGUAGCGGGGGAUAACUACGCGAAAGCGUAGCUAAUACCUCAUACGCCCUACGGGGGAAAGCAAGGGAUCGUAAGACCUUGCACUAUUGGAGCGGCCGAUAUCGGAUUAGCUAGUUGGUGAGGUAACGGCUCAUCAAGGCGACGAUCCGUAGCUGGUUUGAGAGGACGACCAGCCACACUGGGACUGAGACACGGCCCAGACUCCUACGGGAGGCAGCAGUAGGGAAUUUUGGACAAUGGGGGCAACCCUGAUCCAGCCAUCCCGCGUGUGCGAUGAAGGCCUUCGGCUUGUAAAGCACUUUUGGCAGGAAAGAAACGUCGCGGGCUAAUACCCCGUGAAACUGACGGUACCUGCAGAAUAAGCACCGGCUAACUACGUG
rnacentral:rRNA from 1 species